CGCCCAGGAACAUGGCGGCGGCGGGGCCGAGAGGGGGCGGCGGGAGCGGCCUCCAAGCUCGGGGUUUGCUUUAUGGAUUUAUUUUAGUAACUCUGUCCUUAUCCAGCCCUUCAGAGCACCUUCUCACGGGGAACAGAACCCUGUCAGUUCUGGGAUUCUGUGAUCCUGUGAUGUUAGCAGUUCACACACCAGAAAAUCUCCAGGGACCUUCUGGCUGAGCGUUGUAUAGAAACACAGCCAUAAAUUACUGCAUUUACAUUUACAUCGCUACGCUGUUACAUGAAGGCUCAGAUCAGGAGCAGCACCUUCUGUUUUUCUCUAUUUAUUUUUUCCCCUGUGUGCUCAUUCCCAUUUUAAAGUCCCCCCAAUUUACCUGCAGCACAGUCUAGACAGCUAAUGAAAUAAUAAGAGCCCAGCGGAUUUUUACAAGAACGUAGACAAAAAGGGCAUCAGAAAUAAAUAUAUGAGUAAGAAUUGGAAGGUCGAUGGCCGGGUACUGAGUGUGCCACAGGCAAGGGUGUCCCGGGAUUAUGAGGUGCAUUAAUACCAUUCCUAAAAUCCCCGAAGGAAUCACCCCGUUGUUCUAAGGACCGUGUAGGAACAGCAGGUCACAUUUGUAAAAUGUGCUUAAAGAUGCAGUUGAAUCCCAAAGGGAUUUUUCCAGACAGUUCAUAAAACCAGGUUGUGAGUCACCCCUGGAAGCUAAUGGGAGUAAGGCCUGGAACUUAUCUAGGUGCUUUUAAUAAAUCCUGCUCUUUCCAUAUCGACAUGAUUAAAUGCAUAAUAUGCUUUUUUUAAAUGUGACCCAGUGUUUAUCCAGUGCCAAGAGCAGCAAGCUGAGCACUAAAACGCUCCGUACUUCUGGAAAAUAGUGCCUACUCUGGAGAAUCCAAGAUAUUAAUGAGCAGGUAGUGUGCAGUCAGGCUGAGACAGAGAAACGAAGCUUUCUCCUCUAAAAACCUCACAGCAGGGCUUUAAUCUUUUUAAUUUUUAAAGAUGCUUUUGUUAGACUUUAAAUUUCAGAAGUUGCCUCUGAACUAUCAAGGCCAGAUUUUUUUCAUUCCCUCUGUUCACUGUAGGUAAUUCCCUGUCAAGCAUCCUGCCCAAAACAAUCAGGCAUUGCUGGAUUCCUCUCACCCUCCACACAAGGCAUGAAAAAGCAAUGGAGGAAAACCCAGUUCUGACAUUCCCCCUUCUCACAGCGGAGAGAAACAGGGAAUAAUCAUCCCCGGUGCCUCUGCCUGUUCCUUUCCCUGCUGGUUGCUCAUCAGUGCCCUGGUUGCCCAUCAGUUUUUCCAGCCCCUGGAGGGUGUUGUCGCGUGGUCCUUCCUCCCGUCUUACUCCCGGCUGUUGUUUCUGGAGCUCCCGGUACUACUGCUUGGCACAGCUCCCCCCGGUGACUCCGAGCUGGUGGCAGGCAGGACUGAGCCCUGCCCAGCCCUUUCCCAGGAAGGCCUGGCUUCCCCUCAGAGGAAAACCAGCUCAGCCCCUGGAGCGUUGUCUGCCGGGCCAUCGGGGAGAAAAUAAAAAGUGAUUCAGCUUAUUUUUGUCUCCGGUGAAGCGGAGCUGGUGUGGUUUGAUUUGAAACGCCUUCCUCACUUACAGCAGGGAUUUUAUUUGAAUGUUGAUUGUUUAUUUAUCAUUCCCUUCUGUGUGUAUGGCUGGGUAAAAAGCCCUUUUGUUUUGAAGCGUCCCGUGGACUGCAGCAGGAAGCUCAGGAACUCCUGGUGGACUGAAUGAAACACAGUCAAUGAUAAUAAAAUUAUAGAAGGUUGGAGCCAGGAGGAAACUAAGUAGAUGGUGUAGUUGGACUUCCCACACUAAACCUGGACUUGGAUGUUUGCUGGCAUAUUCUUAAAUGUUUUUAACACCUCCAGGGAGCUUCCACAACAUUGUGAGAUGGAUCUUCUUAAUGUUCCACCUCGGUGACAGUGAGAAUCUCUUGACCAACUUAGCAAAAUUGAGCAUGAAAGAAAUUUAAAUUGUUCUGAAGUGCCCUCCUCUAACUGAAAUAGGUUAGAACUAAACAUGUGUUGUUAGAACAGGAAGAUAUUUGGAAUUUGGAGUGAUGUCUGACACCUUCUUUGCUCAGAUCUGGCUGUCUGGACACACACCCUGAGGUCCUGGACACUCAACUUCCUCUUCACUUUCUGGUCUCCAGCAUCUCAGAAAAGCCAAGAGAUCUGCCCUGAGCCACUGCCUGGGCCAAGGUGCUGGAUUAAACCUGGGAUUAAAGCCUGGGAUUGCUCAGGAGUAGCUUUGAUACACCCAGAGCUGGUCCCAUCCACAGCCUGGGGCUUGGAAUUGCAUUCCAGUGGGUAUCCCUAAUUCCCCCAGUGCAGAGAACAAUCCUGUGCAGUCAGUCUGCUUCCUGUGCAUUGUGACUGCUGCUGAUGACUCCACAGACUUGCAAGUGUGAUGCUCAGCUAAAUAAAAUUGUUUCCAAGAAGGACAUCAUCAUUAAUCUUUAAUUAAUGCCUGGUGUUCAGUGUAAGAUAUGAUUGCCCAUGGUUGGAAUUGCAGUGGGAAUAAGGCAGGUGCCUCAGACUGGGCUGGAACUGCCUGUGGGACAGAGGAGAGCUGGGCUGCCCCCGUUCCAUCCCUGCCAAGUGAUCCAGGUCGCUCAGCAGUGGCAGAAUUUGGCAGGUUUCCCUGCCCCAAGGAGUUUGCAAUUUGAAGGAGUGCUGCUUUCUUCAUCCUGCUCUUAGAGCUGUUCCCAUGUCAGUCAGUGGGAUGAAUUCCCAUCUUCCUUUUGUUGACAUGUAAAUGAAGUUUGUCAGGACUUUGUCCAAUCUGCACAAGGAAAGUUUCAUUUCACGGAGCCUGCCAGCUCACAGGGGUGUGCUCAGGGCUCUGUUCUCCCACCUUUCACCCUUGGAAUGUGCUGCAAGGAUAGUUUGGGGGAAAAAAGGGAGGCUGACAAAGGCCAGCACUAAAAUCAUGAGGCACAAAGAGCUGCUGUGAGUCCUUGCUGGUGGAUUUCUGUUUGAUUUGAAGAAGCACCUGGUAUGGCAGUAACAACUCCCAGGUUCCUCAGUGAGUCUUGCAGAGGGAACAAUCAAAAUAUGAUUUGUUUAUUAUGGGAAGGACAAUUAAGAAUGAAUUGAUGGAUGAGUUGCUGCUGUAUUUGGGAGCCCCAGGGACCCUGUUCUGAA